AGCUGCGGUCUUCGGACCUUCAGCGAAAGUGCAGGUAAUACCGGAUGACAUCGGGAGAUCGAAUGUUUUCCCGAUCAAAGAUUUCGGUCGGUUUUGGAGCGGCCUAUGUCGUAUCAGCUAGUUGGUGAGGUAACGGCUUACCAAGGCAUCGACGCGUAGCGGGACUGAGAGGUUGAUCCGCCACAUCGGGACUGAGACACUGCCCGGACCUCCACGGAGGGCUGCAGUAACGAAUAUUGCGCAAUGGACGAAAGUCUGACGCAGCGACGCCGUGUGUAGGAUGAAGCUCCUCGGAGUGUAAACUACUGUCAGGGACUAGAAAGGUAUGCUUGUCAUACUUGAUCAAUCCCAAAGGAAGCACCGGCUAACUUCGUGCCAGCAGCCGCGGUAAUACGAAGGGUGCAAGCGUUGUUCGGAAUCACUGGGCUUAAAGCGCACGUAGGCGGAAGAGAAAGUGUCUUGUGAAAUCCCCCGACUCAACCGGGGAACUGCUCGGCAAACUACUCUUCUUGAGACAAGUAGGGGUACAUGGAACUCUAGGUGGAGCGGUGAAAUGCGUAGAUAUCUAGAGGAACGCCAGCGGAGAAAUCGGUGUACUGGACUUGUACUGACGCUGAGGUGCGAAAGCGUGGGUAGCGAACGGGAUUAGAUACCCCGGUAGUCCACGCUGUAAACGAUG
rnacentral:rRNA from 1 species